AUCCGGCCGGGUUGGCACCACUGUUGGCACCUCGCCUUCCGCCUCUCGCCGUAACUCUUUGUCCGGUUUACCACUUACGGAAUCCUGGCGUCGGCCUCCGGAGCCGAAGGUUACAGGUUCGAAUCCUGUCGGGGAUA
rnacentral:tRNA from 1 species